GUAGUCACAUAUAAAGGUGUACGUAACUCGGAAGGGCAUCAGGCGUGAAUAAAGUUUUGGCGGAUUAUAUAUAAACUGACGGAGACACAACAGGAAGUGGCAUUGCUGGACAUACGGCACAGCAGUUGCCAUGGCUUACGAAAAAAUUCUUCUGUCCUUGACAGUCUUCACGUUUCUGUGUGUGUUGCAGGUCAGUGGAGGAAAAUUUUGUAUGAAGAUGGUACCUGUGUUAAAGAAGUGUGCUGAUGAUUGUACAAAAAAAGAAGGUGUUUCGAUGACUCAAAAGGAACAAAUGGAUAUAGUUGCAAAAAAUGCCCUCAAUCAGAAUCUGGAAAGAAAGCUUUUGUAUGCGUCCUUUUAUGCAGUAAAUUGAUAAACCCUGAGACUUGCCAGGUAAACAAUGAAGGCGUGAAAGAAAUGAGUAAAAAGUGCGGUAAAACCAAACAAGAGAAAGAGAAAAUGAUUAAAGCUGGAAAUACUUGCCAGGCUCAAGUCGCCAAGAAGGUAAAGUCAUGUGAGCCAGCCACAGAAGCAGCUGAUGUUAUUUGCAAGUGUCUGAUGGCUCAAAAUAUGUUUUAAAAUACGCUACUUAAAGCCUUCAAAACAAGCCAAAUUCUCCUUCGGCCAGAAGAUGUCAUCACGCGAGCAACGUUUAUAUUUAAAAAAGCACUAUAACUUUCGAAAUUUAAAUGAAAUAUGACUUGGCUAAAUGUGUCAUUUAUGUAAAAUAUAAUGUGAAAUAAAAUUAAUUAAAAUUAAUUAAUAAAUUAUGUUUUGAUACCAGCAGUAUAAUUUUGUGUAAUUAAUUAAACAUUAUAUAUGUGAGAACAAUUAAAAUAACUAAGCUAUUUUUUAAUUAAAUAAGUGGUUUUUAUUUAUGUAUAUAUAUGUAUCGAAAAAUUUAGAUAACACUCAUGUUAUUAUAUAUGUUCUACUCACACUUUGUGGAAUAAAAUAUUUCUCAAUAAAAUUAAUUAUGUUGUUUAG